AUGAACGCUGGCGGCGUGCCUAAUACAUGCAAGUCGAGCGAACAGACGAGGAGCUUGCUCCUCUGACGUUAGCGGCGGACGGGUGAGUAACACGUGGAUAACCUACCUAUAAGACUGGGAUAACUUCGGGAAACCGGAGCUAAUACCGGAUAAUAUAUUGAACCGCAUGGUUCCAUAGUGAAAGACGGUUUUGCUGUCACUUAUAGAUGGAUCCGCGCCGCAUUAGCUAGUUGGUAAGGUAACGGCUUACCAAGGCAACGAUGCGUAGCCGACCUGAGAGGGUGAUCGGCCAAACUGGAACUGAGACACGGUCCAGACUCCUACGGGAGGCAGCAGUAGGGAAUCUUCCGCAAUGGGCGAAAGCUUGACGGAGCAACGCCGCGUGAGUGAUGAAGGUCUUCGGAUCGUAAAACUCUGUUAUUAGGGAAGAACAAAUGUGUAAGUAACUAUGCACGUCUUGACGGUACCUAAUCAGAAAGCCACGGCUAACUACGUG
rnacentral:rRNA from 1 species